rnacentral:SRP_RNA from 2 species
UCGCAAUAGACGGGGCAGUAGCGGCGCCUUGUAACCUGCAAUCCGCUAUAGCAGGGUCGAAUUCCUAAUGAAGGUUUAGUCAUGUGUGGACAGUACUUUCGAUUUGAUGUUGAUGAAAAAACCUUUUACAAAGAAAACCCUACGAACGGGUCAGAUCCGGAAGGAAGCAGCCAUAAGAAGGACCAUUUUCUUGUGUAAAAGACCAUUUUUUCUGAGUCAAAGAAAAAGGAUACGCAUGGAUGAUUAAAUCGUACUUAGGUUUGCGA